ensembl:lncRNA
GCCUUUCCGCGCGGGGUUUAUUUCCUCGCGCCCGUUGCAAAGGCGCGGAAGACGAGAUGAUGUACAGCCCCCGAGGCACCGGGAGACUGCAACGUCUGCGCCGCGACUGCUCCGGUGCAACCGGACGCGCCGGCUUGUGUCCCAGUCGCGGUUCGCGGGGGCAGGCAGGAGCCGAGCUGCCGGCCCCCGCCCGCGGGGUUGCCGCGCAGGCCCCCCCGACGUGGCCAUUAGCGCCCGGCAGCUCCGCUCCGCUCCGGGAAACGCUCCCGGAGAGCAGCGCCUCGGCUCCCCUUCACACCAGCCCCCCGCCCCGGCUGCCACGCUGCAGCGUGCGAGUCCACCUGGGACACUGUCCGGUCCGGGGAGCAUUCCCGUCUGGCCGCAGCUAGCGCUGGCCCGACAGCAACGCAUCCCGGGGCAAGGAAGAGCACGGCCGGCGGCGGCCGCGGCUUGCAGCACGGCCUGGGGCAGAGGCAGCACACACAGCAACCGGCCCCCGGCCGUGCCUCCGGGGAGAAGGAGCUUCCCCGGGCGGCGCCAGGCCCGGAGCCGGCCGAGCAGCGAAGGUCAGCGGGGCGGGUGUCCGGCCGGCCGUGUGCGGGCAAGGGAAAGCAGGGAAGCGCCGUGGGGGGCGCGGACUCACCCGGCCGUCUCCCGCCCCAGCCCUGGGCCGAGGCUUGUGGCACACCCCCGGGGCUGCGCGUGCCUGGCACUGGCGGGGACGACCAUCCGCUGGGCAGCGCGUGCAGACGGGCACACGCGGCGGUGCCGAAACGCAGCCGGGCGCUGCGGGAAGCGGAGGAGCGGCGCCCGCGGCGGCACCGGGGCUCUGCCCGGCCUGGAGCCGCGCAGCUCCUCGGCCCGCUUCCCGACAUGAGGGGGCCGCGAGUCCGUCGUUCCCGUGUGGGCAUCACGGCUCGCCGUGCUGUUCCGGCGGGCUCGGAGGACCCCGCGUGGAGCCGGGCUGGGCCCACGAGCGCCCCGGGCACCCGCGAGGCUGCUCUCCCCCUCUGCCCAGAGGUGAUUUUUCCUGGUUCAGAAAAGAGCCCAGCAGCGUCUGUCCCCACCCAGGCGCCGCGCCGCACCCGCACCCGCACCCGCACCCCCCGGCGGGGCCAGGCGCACACGUGCGCGAGCCGGGUGUUACGACUUGUGAGGGUGCUCGGGGCCCAGUGGGCCCAGGCGCUGCCAGCGCCCCGCCGGGGCUGCUUGCUGGCUGCAGUCCAGCUCCUGCCGCCAUGCUGCAGGCUCCGGCUCCCAAGGCCGCGCCUUGUCCGGGCGUUUCCUCACCCCGGCCCCGGGGAGCUGCCUGGCAGCCUCCCUCCAGCUGCCGGGCCCGGGACGCGGCUUGCACCGGGUAUGACCAACGAGUCACUAGCGCCGCUCAGUCCAAAGCCAAGUGCAAAGGGCUUUCAUUUCCUCCGGGCCCUGGGGUCUGGUUUUCGUGCGUGACAAGGACAACCAGCCGCGGGCCUGGCAGCCAGGACCCCAAGUGCGAGAGCCGGAGCCGGAGUCCAGCCUGGCCCCGGAAGACCAAGUGGGUCAGCCUGGAGCAGGCCUCUCCGCCCCUGGCAGCUCCCUCCUGCACCGACCCUGGCCCGCGACUGCAGAAAGAUGCAGCCCCCGAGCACGGCAGGUCCUGCCUGCUGCUUCUUUUUGGCCGCUGCAGGAGACGUUGCACAAAGAGAAGAUGUGGAUGUGGCCCGGAUGCGGGGACCUGGACGGGUCUGAGUGCGGGAGGGCUCCCAGGGGGUCCCGGCGCUGCAGCGAGCGAGAAGCUCCGGAGACGGAUGCAAUCCCCAGCCCGCGUCCCCCGGCUGCCUCGGUCCCCGCGGGGCCAGCCCCGGACACGAGCUUGGCACCUCGCAGGAUCCGGCCCCGCACUUGCUCAACGCAGCCGCGGCAGCACCCGAGACGCGCCGGGAUCGCGCAGCGGCUGCAGCCCCGGGACGAGAAAUCAAGGGACACUUCUCGUCCCGCCGCGCGCACCUGCCCGUGCGGGCC